UUGAGCGUGUGGGAUUCUGCCUCUGCCGCUGCACAAAAGGGCCUUUCUCUCCACCCAUCCCCAGGCUGAGUCUCCUCACUGUUCCCACUGUUCUCUCCUCUGGAUACCAUUCAAGGGACAAAUUGGGAAUGGCUUUGAAAAUGUGUAGGAAAUUGCAGGACAGAUUUGGACAAGCUGGCUGCAACGCUGUCAAGAGGAGUUAGCACAGAGAUGAUUUUGCCUUCUGCAUCACGCACAUGGAGGCUGAGUGUGUCUUUUAUCCCAUAUGCCAUGGCUGGCAACAAAAAUGAACUUCAUGACAGCAAGGAGGAAUUUGCUCUUCAGAACAGAGACUGUUACAGUAUGCAUCUUCUUCUGGGGAUGGACUCAUGCAGUGAAUAGAUACUGCAAAAAGCAAGGGGCAUGAAAACUGUGGACUAUUCCUAAGUGGAGUAAAAAGCUGGGUAUUUCCCUCACACCUUACGGAAAAGUAACGAAUGGCACAAAGUGCUGCUCUUGUGGAUGAGAAAUUAAAUGUUAAAUAGAAGUAGGGAGUAGCUGGCCAGGUGGCAGAAUCCCACCAAGUCCCUUGGGGUGAUAUUGGAAAGCAAAGGAUAUUGGGUUACAGUGUGACUCUGUUAGGUUCCGAAGAGAAAUUUGCCAUUUAGAAAAAAGUCUGAACAGCAGCAUUAUUUGUAAAGCAAGGAUUAAUUACAUUUCUCUUCUGGGCAGGGGUGAGACUGGCUGAAAUACUGCACCUACUUUCAGGCAUUGUCCUUGACUGGAAAUAUGGACUCACUGGAGGGAAUUCAGAGGGCAGCAAAGGGAGCAUAAGGUUUAGGAAAUGAAGGAAGUUUCAGAGCACUGGCUAUGUUUACUCUAGAAAAUUAAACUCUGAGAGUGGAACAUGAGAAGUCUUUCAUUAUGUAAAAGGGCGCUAUUAAAGAAGAUAAUGAUCAGUUGUUCUCUUUGUUCAUUUAGGAAGUACAAGAAUAAAUCAGGUUAAUUUUUGCUUUCUCUGCAGCUAAAAAGACUCAGGCUGAAUACUAUGAAAAGUUUGUCAAGGUAGUAAUGUUGUUAUUGGUCUACCUAAGGAUGCACAACAUCCUCAUUUCUUCACUGGUUUAUUACCAAAAAUCUCAGUACCUGAAAUGUGCUUUAGAUGCACUUACUCUGCAUGUGGUAACUUCUUGACGUGUCUUCAGGCCACACAGAACUACUGAGUAAUUUCUGGAUAAAUUGAAUAAAGAUGCCACAUUUCUAA